CUUUUAUUCUAGCGCACAGCAGUGUAGGGAAUCGACUUAGGGCAGGUGCCGUUCGCGAUGGCUGAUUUCUGAGUGACAGCGGUUACCCGCUCAGGCGCUGGCUACUCACCCCAUUUUCAAACCCUCAGAGCGCAGAAGAAGUGCGCUUUAAUGAUACCCACGCUCGUGCGCGCUCAGUAGUUGAGAGAGCCAUUGGCCUCCUCAAGUGUAGAUGGCGUUGCCUUGAUGCUUCGGGUGGUAGACUUUUAUAUCAACCAAAAAAAGUUUGCCAGAUCAUCAUGGUGUGCGCUAUUUUACACAACAUUGCACUGAUGAAUGGUAUCCCUGUUCCUCCCGACCUACCACAACACCAGCAUGAAGAGCCUGACCCACACCCCCCUCCCCAACAAGAAGGAUGUCAUCAGGGAGCAAGGCUCCGUCAGGAAGUAAUGCGCCAUUUGUGAAGAACAACAGUGCCAAGAACAGCCUCAGUCAGCACCCGGCCACUUCCAGCCGUGCCAUACGGUCGGGACGCACUUGUGCUGGGGACCUCAGGU